rnacentral:rRNA from 1 species
AUACGUAGGGAGCAAGCGUUGUUCGGAAUCAUUGGGCGUAAAGGGCUCGUAGGCGGCUUGACAAGUCGAUCGUGAAAACCCGGGGCUCAACCCCGGGACGCCGGUCGAAACUGUCAUGGCUAGGGUCCGGUAGAGGUGAGCGGAAUUCCCAGUGUAGAGGUGAAAUUCGUAGAUAUUGGGAAGAACACCAGUGGCGAAGGCGGCUCACUGGUCCGGUACUGACGCUGAGGUGCGAAAGCGAGGGGAGCAAACAGGAUUAGAUACCCCUGUAGUCC